CAAAUAUGGCUACACAAGUUUAUGAAAUCAGACAAAUUUCAAGCAACUCGAUGCAAUUGAAUCUCAAAGUUAGAGUCAUUCGAACGUGGGAAAUUCUGGAUUGAUUCAAGCCUGGAAUAUCAUAUUCCAUGUAAUUGGUUAUACAUAAUUCAAAGGAAAACUAUGAUCAAAGUCAACAUUUCAUUAAUGAUGCUUUCUCCAUUUAGUGCUCGAAUUGUUAAUGUGAUCUCACGCCAGUGAUGACUUAAUGACAUACGGAAUUUCCAACUCAAUAGUUCCGAGAGACAAGUGAACUGACUCUCAAACAAAUCAAAGAGUUGAAGAAUGUAGGAACUAAUGACAGUUCCUCAACAAUGGUAUCGUCACCCUUUCUAUCCAUGGAGCCAGUUGCUCG